rnacentral:rRNA from 1 species
UACGUAGGGUGCAAGCGUUAUCCGGAAUUAUUGGGCGUAAAGAGCUCGUAGGCGGUUUGUCGCGUCUGCUGUGAAAACUGGAGGCUCAACCUCCAGCCUGCAGUGGGUACGAGCAAACUAGAGUGCGGUAGGGGAGAUUGGAAUUCCUGGUGUAGCGGUGGAAUGCGCAGAUAUCAGGAGGAACACCGAUGGCGAAGGCAGAUCUCUGGGCCGUAACUGACGCUGAGGAGCGAAAGCAUGGGGAGCGAACAGG